UUUAAGAUUCUUUUUAUGUGAACAACUGCUUCAAAAAGGUUAACAGAUGACCAAGAAUUUCAAGUGCUUUUUUAAAAGCAGGCUGGGCCCCUUUACCUCUACCCCAACAUCCAGGCUCCACCAAAGGAUGUCAGAGGAAAAGACAGAGUCUUUAGGUUGAGAAGAAACCACAGAUUUUAGCUUCAACCCCCAGCUUGUCUAGCAGCUGAGACUCCUGCUCUGUGUAACAUCUUUCUGCAGCCUGGUGGCGCCCCUUAUCAAAAGCGAUGCUGAUGAUACUGAUUCUUUUCAAACGUUCUCGAUAGCAUGGCAGCACCGACGCACGCUGAAUGUCAGGCACUGGCUGUGAGUAGAAGUGGACAUCACAGUCCCCAGGAUCCUAGGAAACUGCAUCACGGGAUCUUCCUGACCCAGGGAUCAAACCCACAUCUCCUCCAAUGGCAGGAUUCUUUACCACUGAGCCACCAGGCCCUGAGAGAUCCCCACCAUCAACAGAGCCAAGAAGCUGUGCCGCCUGCAGUUCUCGCGUUCGGCCGGCAGAGGGCGCGAAUGUCAGCUCUGCGGGAGGCGGACGACAACCGUCAGGACAGGGGCUGAAUCCUGUGGGCAGCGACACCAGCUGGGAGGUUACAGAAUGCCCG
ensembl:lncRNA